AGUGAACGCUGGCGGUAGGCCUAACACAUGCAAGUCGAACGGCAGCACAGUAAGAGCUUGCUCUUACGGGUGGCGAGUGGCGGACGGGUGAGGAAUACAUCGGAAUCUACUUUUUCGUGGGGGAUAACGUAGGGAAACUUACGCUAAUACCGCAUACGACCUACGGGUGAAAGCAGGGGAUCUUCGGACCUUGCGCGAUUGAAUGAGCCGAUGUCGGAUUAGCUAGUUGGCGGGGUAAAGGCCCACCAAGGCGACGAUCCGUAGCUGGUCUGAGAGGAUGAUCGCAACCAGUGGAAAUGAGACAGGGUCAGGACCCCCAGGGGGGACAGAAGGGGGGAAUAUUGGAAAAUGGGCGGAAGCCUGAUCCAGCCAUACCGCGUGGGUGAAGGAGGCCUUCGGGUUGUAAAGCCCUUUUGUUGGGAAAAAAAAGCAGAAGGUUAAUACCCCGCUGUUCUGACGGUACCAAAAGAAUAAGCACCGGUGAACUUCGU
rnacentral:rRNA from 1 species